rnacentral:sRNA from 2 species
CCGCCUGUCAUUGGGGAGUAGCUUCCUUCGCGUCAAGAAGGGGGUGCGUCAACAAACUUGGACCACGGCGACCGCUGUGGACCAUGGCGCAUCCGACCCACUUCAGCCCUGUCAGGACAGGGUUCCGGGUUUAGCGAGACUUUUGGCUGUGCCGAGCCUGU